UACAGAGGUCCCAAGCGUUGUUCGGAUUCACUGGGCGUAAAGGGUGCGUAGGUGGUGAGGUAAGUCGGAUGUGAAAUCUCCAAGCCCAACUUGGAAACUGCAUUGGAAACUACCUUGCUAGAGGAUUUGAGGGGGGAUUGGAAUACUUGGUGUAGCAGUGAAAUGCGUAGAUAUCAAGUGGAACACCAGUGGCGAAGGCGAAUCCCUGGAAAAUACCUGACACUGAGGCACGAAAGCUAGGGGAGCAAACAGG
rnacentral:rRNA from 1 species